UAUUUUAGUCCGAUGAAAAAUGUAUUUUUAAGUUGAAAUGUGACUGACUCUUAAGCAGUAUACUACGAAUUAACUCGAUGUAGCGGAUUACUUGGGAGUUCAUUUUCAGUACAGUGAGUGUCCGGGUUAAUAACGUGCGACUGACGGACAACUCGUACUUACAAAUUGACGGACAUGGGGCCCAAUAUAUUAAGAAUUUGACUCGGAUAUAAAAGUUCAUAAUGCACACACGCACUAUUUUGUGACGCCCGUAAGAACAUUGCGCGGCCUCAGCGGUUCGUGUAAACGUUAAGUCGUGAAGGCCGCUGCCAGCAUGCAAGACGGCGAUGGAGCUAGGAUUCCACUUCAAGACGGACCUACGAACCUUCGUAACCCGGGACCUGCCUUGCACUAUAUGAAAGAGCCAGCGUGGCAUGUUGGGAACGAUGCAAAGUAGAAUCCUCUUCUGAGUAUUUUAUUGGUCGACUGGGAGAGGAAUCCAGUAGGUAUCGAUGACAACUUCCUGCCAGUUUCUUGCUGGGAUAACCAACUUCCUGUUUAAUGGUGGUCGGCAAACACAAUGGAGCAAUCGGGGUUGUUCUUCGGCUGUUCUCUCAACAAUCUUCCAAAAAUGACCAUGGCACAUGUUACACGGUCAAUGGAAAGCCGCAUAUCAUCGAAAACACUUGAACGGGGGCACAAAAAUUUUCAUGAAAAUUCUUUUCAAAGGUGACGGUCACUUUACGGAUUGAGCCUGUGCAGUUAAACAGCAUGUUAUGCUCAUGCACUGCAGGGAAAGCACUGUGCGCCGACCUGCUCGCCUUGCUUUUCCAGUGUGCACAUGGUAGUAUGAUGAAAAUGCAGACAGCCCCAUCAAGAGUGCCUGUACUAACUCUCUGCAGACCUGACGUCGGCUAAGGACCUGGGUAAUUUGCAUACGUGUGUGUGAUAAUGUGCAUUUCAUAAUAAAACAUUCUUUUUUUUUAUUUAAA